UACGUAGGGAGCAAGCGUUGUUCGGAUUUACUGGGCGUAAAGGGCGCGUAGGCGGCAAUUCAAGUCAGCUGUGAAAUCUCCGGGCUUAACUCGGAACGGUCAGCUGAUACUGCUUUGCUAGAGUGCGGAAGGGGCAAUCGGAAUUCUCGGUGUAGCGGUGAAAUGCGCAGAUAUCAGGAAGAACACCCGUGGCUAAGGCGGUUCUCUAGUACGGUACUGACGCUGAGACGCGAAAGCGUGGGGAGCGAACAGG
rnacentral:rRNA from 1 species